rnacentral:rRNA from 1 species
UACGUAGGGCGCAAGCGUUAUCCGGAAUUAUUGGGCGUAAAGAGCUCGUAGGCGGUUUGUCGCGUCUGCCGUGAAAGUCCGGGGCUCAACUCCGGAUCUGCGGUGGGUACGGGCAGACUAGAGUGAUGUAGGGGAGACUGGAAUUCCUGGUGUAGCGGUGAAAUGCGCAGAUAUCAGGAGGAACACCGGUGCGGAAGGCGGAUCUCUGGGCAUUAACUGACGCUGAGGAGCGAAAGCUGGGGAGCGAACAGG